CUUUACGCAAAAAGAGAGGACCUCCUCGACGAACCUUAGCUUCCUUCUCUUUUGCGCAGACAACGAUCUGAUUCCUAAGAUCUGAUCCCUUUCUGGGUUUCGUAAUCUGGAUGUGAUUGACAUGGAUCAGAUCGAAGUCACCAAUCUCAAUCGCCAGUUCCUCUUCAGACUUGAGGAUGAGGAAAGCCUAAGGAAGAGGUAGCUGCAAAGCGUGUCAUGGAGAGAGUGAGUGGAGUGGAGAUUGUGCCGCAUUUUUCACGUAUAGAAGACAAAGAGCUUGAAUUUUAUAACUAUUUUAAUAUCAUUGCUCUUGGUCUUGAUUCCAUCGAAGCUGCUCUAUUUUUUAUUAGUGGCUCUCACCUUGGUCUGACGAGUCUGAUCAUGCUGUUAAAUCAAUUUCUCAAAUUAAGGCUGCUCUAUUUUUUGAAGCUGCUCUAGAGUUAGUAGUCGUUUGAACCUGCUCUAUUUUUUAUUUGAUCAAAGACCAAUAAUCGCUUCUGCAGCUGAGUCUUUUGUUAACCGCAUCCAUGGUGAAGCACUCACAAGAACACAAUAACCAGACCAAGUCUUGCAAGGCUAGAGGAUCGAAAUAGAAGUUUCCGAUAUUCAUAGGAAUCAAUGGGACAAUCUCAAAUUGGUCAAUCUUAGGGUUCACUUCAAGAACACUCGCUAAACAAUGCACGCUGUCAGGAAGCUAUCAGGAAGCUACCAUUGCUCAAGGCCAAGAGGUACCUUGAGGAUGUGAUAGCUCACAAACAGGCUAUUACUUUCACCCGUUUCUGCAGAGGUGUUGGAAGGAAUGCUCUAGCUAAUAACAUGCAUUCCAAUGGUCAAGAACGUUGGCCUGCUAAAUCUGCUCAAUUUGUUCUUGAUUCUCUCAAGAACGCUGAGAUCAAUGCUGAGGUUGUAUCUACCUUUCAAACGUAACCUACGACAGUGGUGUCAUCCCAUAUACUUCUUUCUGAUUUGAAGUGCGGUUUCUGUCCUGAAACUGUGGUCACGCGCCUGCUGCGUUUUUGGGAAACAAGAAACGUGAAGAAGGGGAGGGAGGGGAGUUAAUGGGGGUUUGACAUGCUCCUCCUUGAUGCAAAGGUUUGUCUCUUCUAAUUUCAUUGAUGAUAAAUUAUAGAUCUUUCAGUUCCUUCUCAUAAACUGAUGAGCAGGUUUGUCUCCUAUAUUCCCUCAAUGAUAUCUUUUGGCGUCAAGCCUAAGGUGAUCGUAGCUACCAGCAUUAAUCCAAAAUUCGUCGGAGGUAGCUAUCUUGAACUUCAUCUUUAAAACAAGUUUAACUAUCUUUGUCAAUCUCCCAGGCCGCCUCUUACUGAAUGCAACUUCUGGCACUCAUUUCUGUUUCGACAAAGACAAACGCAAGUGAGACCUUCAUCCGAUUUGGGUGUUGGUGACGUGAACUGCUUCACAAGUUUCACCAAAUAUGAAGGUGUAAGAAAAUUGAAGUUGUGACGGUCUUUGAGCUUAACACAUACGUUGUUAACUCGACCCCACAGGUUACCGAGUUUUGUGCACUGAAAAAGCUGAGUUGAUUGAAACGGGCAGUGGCUGUGCUACAUAUCCUGCUCUAAUGGGAUCUCUUCCUGCAUGUAGUGACUUAACCUCUGUUGGUGUUGUCAGGGUGGGCACAACUAUCCUGAUAUAAAUUUCCUGCAAUUGCUUAGAUGGUGACAAGACAAGUGCCACUGAUCCGAGCACUUGACGUAAUGACCUCUCCAUGAACCCCAGGGGUCCAUCUGCAGCAGAAGCAACAAGUGAUGAACUCAAUUAUGGCAGAAUCAUUGCAUAGCAACAACAGCUUCCAGGAGCUGGUUACCCACUCAAGAAGGCUCGCACAGAUGUUUCAUGCGUGACAAUCCAAAAUCACAAACUUUGACGACCCUAAUUUUAUUAACAAGAAGUCAAGAAGGUUCGAAGAUUUUAACUCCCUAUGUAAGUUGGGUGACUGGUGUGCCAGUAGUUCAUAUCUUUAACUUGCAAUAUGACAGAUAUUGAACAAGUGUUCAAGCAUUAAUAUGACAAUGCUAUCUAUCUUUAUGGUAUAAUAAUAUUAUGGAGAGAAGAGCAUGGAGUCGGUCAACCAAUGUUCGAUUCCUUCGGGGUAGAUACUAAACAAAAUUUGGAUGGCCAAUUGUUGGAAGCGCAUUAAAAAAAUAAUCCAUAAAAUUAGAGAUAGUAGACUUGAUUGUUACUUAACAAAUUACUGGAGCAUG